rnacentral:lncRNA from 1 species
UGCAGACUGAGCUGAGCAGAAAAGAGAGGUUGUCCUACGCAGCRGAGGCGUUGGCGAGCAAGCAAGGAUGCCUGCCAUGACUUAGGGCUGCCUUUUGGUGUCAUUGCUUUGGUUGAGCAGCUCCUGGCUCUCGGUAGUCGCAGCGUGUGUCCUCCUGACUGCAGCGGACCCUUCRCCUCGCUCCGACAGCAGAGUCGAUCCUGCGCAACGCAAGACACGGCGGCAGGAUCCAGCCCAAAGGAAACAUCUCAGGCUUUGGCCCAUCACUAGCAGCACCUUCUCCCAGCGAAGCCCGCUCCAGGCAUGACGCAGAGCUCAGUCCUCCCAGUUCCCAGCGCUUGUUUGCCUUUCACCAAGGCGUCAGGAAGGCAGCGUGAAAAAAGCCAGUUUAUGUCAUCUCAUGACUCACUGACGGGCUUUCCCAGUAGGCGCUGCAGAGUUUGGGGAAGAAGCUCCUCAAGUUUCAUCCAGUGCAAAUGGUCCAUUUGAGUACAGAUCGGUUCCCCAAUCCACUUCACUGCAUGGCCAUAUGAACACCCGUACCAGCUUUUCCUGCUCUACAGACCUCUUGAAAAUACAGAUUGGAAAACAGCACAGAAAGAAAGAGCAGAAGUCAAGCCAGCAUGAAGAGCAUGGCCAACAGCUGCUUCUCCAAAAUGGUGAUCCAACUGCACGAAGUCUUUCUGCAUUUGAAGAUACAACAUAAAACGGCAAAAGAAAUAAAUCAGAUGAGGGAAACUGCCA